UAUGCAUUUUUUCUGCUUUAU
rnacentral:piRNA from 1 species